UACGAAGGGUGCGAGCGUUAUUCGGAAUUAUUGGGCGUAAAGGGUUCGUAGGCGGGAUUGUAAGUCAAGUGUGAAAUCCCCGAGCUUAACUCAGGACGUGCAUUUGAAACUGUGAUUCUUGAGUCAUUGAGAGGGUGGUGGAAUUGUUGGUGUAGGAGUGACAUCCGUAGAGAUCAACAGGAACAUCAGAGGCGAAAGCGGCCACCUGGCAAUGUACUGACGCUGAGGAACGAAAGCGUGGGGAGCAAACAGG
rnacentral:rRNA from 1 species